GGCUACCACUUACAGAUGGNCCNGCGGCGCAUUAGCUAGUUGGUGAGGUAACGGNUCACCAAGGCAACNAUGCGUAGCCGACCUGAGAGGGUGAUCGGNCACACUGGGACUGAGACACGGCCCAUACUCCUACGGGAGGCAGCAGUNGGGAAUCUUCCGCAAUGGACNAAAGUCUGACGGAGCAACGCCGUGUGAGUGAUGAAGGUUUUCGGAUCGUAAAGCUCUGUUGUUAGGGAAGAACAAGUACCGUUCGAAUAGGGCGGUACCUUGACGGUACCUAACCAGAAAGNCACNGCUAACUACGUGCCAGCAGCCGCGGUAAUACGUANGUGGCAAGCGUUGUCCGGAAUUAUUGGGCGUAAAGGGCUCGCAGGCGGUUUCUUAAGUCUGAUGUGAAACCCCCGGCUCAACCGGGGAGGGUCAUUGGAAACUGGGGAACUUGAGUGCAGAAGANGAAAGUGGAAUUCCACGUGUACGGUGAAAUGCNUAGAGAUGUGGAGGACACCAAUGGCGAAGGCGACUCUUUGGU
rnacentral:rRNA from 1 species